GUCCUUUAGAAUUAUAUUUAAGGUCUAACCUGCCCACUGAAAUUAUUUAAAUGGCCGCAGUAUUUUGACUGUGCAAAGGUAGCAUAAUCAUUAGUUUUUUAAUUAAAAGCUUGUAUGAAAGGUUGGACGAAGUAAAAUCUGUCUCUAUUUAAAUUAAAAUAGAAUUUAACUUUUAAGUUAAAAGGCUUAAAUUUUAUUAAAAGACGAGAAGACCCUAUAGAGCUUUAUAAUUUAUUUAAUAAUAUUAAUUUGGAAAUAUUAAUAUUUUAUUAAAUAAAAUUAUUUUAUUGGGGUAAUAUAAAGAUUAAAAAAAUUCUUUUUUUUAUUAACAUUGAUUUAUGAUUUUAAUGAUCCAAUUUUAUUGAUUAUAAGAUUAAGUUACCUUAGGGAUAACAGCGUAAUUUUUUUAGAGAGUUCAUAUCGAUAAAAAAGUUUGCGACCUCGAUGUUGGAUUAAAGAAUAUUUUAGGUGCAGAAGCUUAAAAUUUUUGGUCUGUUCGACCAUUAAAUCUUUAC
rnacentral:rRNA from 1 species